ACGCUGGUCGCGGUCGUGCCUUAACACAUGCAAGUCGAGCGGGGAAAGUUCCCUUCGGGGAGCGAGUACAGCGGCGAACGGGUGAGUAACACGUAGGUAACCUACCCUGGGGUUCUGGGAUAACCUGUCGAAAGACGGGCUAAUACCGGAUAAGACCACGAGGGGCUUCGGCCUUUGAGGGUAAAAGAUGGCCUCUGCUUGCAAGCUAUCACCCCGAGAUGGGCCUGCGCGCCAUUAGCUAGUUGGUGAGGUAAUGGCUCACCAAGGCGAAGAUGGCUAGCUGGUCUGAGAGGUAUGAUUCAGCCACACUGGGACUGAGACACGGCCCCAGACCUCCUACGGGAGGCAGCAGUGGGGGAAUAUUGCGCAAUGGGCGAAAGCCUGACGCAGCAGACGCCGCUGUGGGUGAUGAAGGCCUUCGGGUCGUUAAAGCCCUGUCGGGAGGGACGAACGAAAUCUUGCCGACCCAAUACGUCGGUGAUCUUGACGGUACCUCCUAAGGAAGCACCGGCUAACUCCGUGCCAGCAGCUGCUGGUAAUACGGAGGGUGCGAGCGUUGUUCGGAAUCCACUGGGCGUAAAGCGCGUGUAGGCGGCCUCUUAAGUCCGAUGUGAAAGCCCGGGGCUCACCCCGGAAGUGCAUUGGUACUGAUUGGCUGGAGUACCGGAGAUGGAGGGGUGUAUUCCUGGUGUGUAGCGGUGAAAUGCGGUAGAUAUAUCAGGAGGAACACCUGUUGGCGAAGGCGGCCCUCUGGACGGAUACUAGACGCUGAGAUGCGAAAGCGUGGGGAGGACAAACAGGAUAGAUACCCUGGUAGUCCCACGCUGUAAACGAUGGGACACUAGGUGUUCGGGGUAUUGACCCCCCGAGUGCCGCAGCUAACGCAUUAAGUGCCCCGCCUGGGGACUACUGGCCCCGCAAGGCUAAACUCAAAGGAAUUGACGGGGGCCCGCACAAGCGGGUGGAGCAUGUGGUUUAAUUCGACGCAACGCGAAGAAACCUUACCUGGGCUAGACAACAUCUGGACAGCCCCAGAAAUGGGGUCUCCCCGCAAGGGGGCCGGUGGUUUCAGGUGCUGCAUGGCUGUCGUCAGCUCGUGUCGUGAGAUGUUGAUUGUUUGGGUUAAGUGUCCCCGCAACGGAGCGCAACCCCUGUCUCUAGUUGCUACCAUUAAGUUGAGCCACUCUAGAAGAGACUGCCCGUUGUUAAACGGGAGGAAGGUGGGGACGACUCGUCAAGUCCUCAGUGGCCCUUAUGUCAGGGCUACACACGUGCUACAAUGGGUCGGUACAAAGGGCUGCGAACCCGGUGUAGGGGAAGCCAACUCCAAAAGCCGCUCUCAGUUCGGAUUGUGAGUCUGCAACUCGACUCCAUGAAGGCGGAUCAUGCUAGUAAUCGCGGUAUCAGCAUGCCGCGGUGAAUACGUUCCCGGGCCUGUACACACCGCCGUCCACACCAUGGGAGUCAGUUGUACCGGAAGUCGGUGUUUCAACCCGCAAGGGGGGAUAGCCGCCUAUGGUAUGGCUGGUGACUGGUGGU
rnacentral:rRNA from 1 species